rnacentral:lncRNA from 1 species
AAUCCAAUUCGAAUCAGGAGCUAAGGUUUGCAACAUCUGCUAGGAUGUUUAUCUUGCAAACAUGAUCUAAUCCAAUUAGACCCUUGAUCAGUUUUCUUGUGUGUGACCCAUUGGGUUCCAUACUUAGCUAGCAAUAGGUGUGAGUGCGAGUUGACCCAACUUGAUUAGAACUCUUCUAAUCGAUUUAGGUCCAAACUGCGCGAACCCGAACUUAACAAUUAGAAUCCUUUCUAAUUGGUGAUCGAAUUAAACUCUUUAAUUCGAUCAAAUCUAUAAGACAAGAUUGACGUCUAGCAACG